GAGCGAACAGGAUUAGAUACCCUGGUAGUCCACGCCGUAAACGGUGGAUGCUGGAUGUGGGGCCCGUUCCACGGGUUCCGUGUCGGAGCUAACGCGUUAAGCAUCCCGCCUGGGGAGUACGGCCGCAAGGCUAAAACUCAAAGAAAUUGACGGGGGCCCGCACAAGCGGCGGAGCAUGCGGAUUAAUUCGAUGCAACGCGAAGAACCUUACCUGGGCUUGACAUGUUCCCGACAGCCCCAGAGAUGGGGCUUCCCUUCGGGGCGGGUUCACAGGUGGUGCAUGGUCGUCGUCAGCUCGUGUCGUGAGAUGUUGGGUUAAGUCCCGCAACGAGCGCAACCCUCGCCCCGUGUUGCCAGCGGAUUAUGCCGGGAACUCACGGGGGACCGCCGGGGUUAACUCGGAGGAAGGUGGGGAUGACGUCAGAUCAUCAUGCCCCUUACGUCCAGGGCUUCACGCAUGCUACAAUGGCCGGUACAACGGGAUGCGACGCGGCGACGCGGAGCGGAUCCCUGAAAACCGGUCUCAGUUCGGAUCGCAGUCUGCAACUCGACUGCGUGAAGGCGGAGUCGCUAGUAAUCGCGAAUCAGCAACGUCGCGGUGAAUGCGUUCCCGGGCCUUGUACACACCGCCCGUCAAGUCAUGAAAGUGGGCAGCACCCGAAGCCGGUGGCCUAACCCCUUGUGGGAUGGAGCCGUCUAAGGUGAGGCUCGUGAUUGGGACUAAGUCGUAACAAGGUAGCCGUACCGGAAGGUGCGGCUG
rnacentral:rRNA from 1 species